rnacentral:rRNA from 1 species
AUUGAACGCUGGCGGCAUGCCUUACACAUGCAAGUCGAACGGCAGCACGGGAGCAAUCCUGGUGGCGAGUGGCGAACGGGUGAGUAAUAUAUCGGAACGUGCCCAGUCGUGGGGGAUAACGUAGCGAAAGCUACGCUAAUACCGCAUACGAUCUAUGGAUGAAAGCGGGGGAUCGCAAGACCUCGCGCGAUUGGAGCGGCCGAUAUCAGAUUAGGUAGUUGGUGAGGUAAAGGCUCACCAAGCCGACGAUCUGUAGCUGGUCUGAGAGGACGACCAGCCACACUGGGACUGAGACACGGCCCAGACUCCUACGGGAGGCAGCAGUGGGGAAUUUUUGGGACAAUGGGCGCAAGCCUGAUCCAGCAAUGCCGCGUGCAGGAUGAAGGCCUCGGUUGUAACUGCUUUGUACGGUAACGAAAAGGACUACUGGUUAAUACCUGGGUCCGAGUGACGGUACCGUAACGAAUAAGACACCGGC